UAAUUCAGCACCAAGUAGUUGUGGUUCUGUUGACAAAAACUAAUGGGAAAACACUAAUAAUAUAAUAUAAUAUAAUAUAAUAUAAUAUAAUAUAAUAUAAUAUAAUAUNAUAAUAUAUAAAUAUUUCAAUUUAAUUUAUAAUCUUAUAAUACAACUAAAAUAAUUGUAUAAAUAAUGUCUAAAAUUAUUUGAAUCCUUAUGAGACAAGCAAACACAUUAACAACCUGAGAUGUCUUUCUUUGCUCUUUCUGUUUUCAAAAUUGCACUAAACAGGAAGACAGACAGGAAGUGGUAGCCUAAAGCAUUUUAUCUAUGUGAUCAAGACUUAGCCGUGUUAGUCAUGAAGGAGAAACGCUAAAGAAAAUUCUGUAUGUUACAUACGUAGGAUUAUUUUAAACUAAAAGUGGAAUUGGAAAAGUGAGAUUGUGACAGAUUUCCAAUGUGGGGUCAGCAAGUUCAGAGGUUACGUGACUUUACAGAGGAGCUUCUGUCACACCGUCUUUUACCAUGACAAGAUCAGGUGCCUUAAAACUUUGCAUCCUCUUCUUUCUCACCUUCAUCCUGUGUCUACCAGAGUUUUUUCCAAAAAUAUCACAAAUUGAGUUUCUCUGUGAGCCCUUUGACCCUUGCACACCUGAGAAUGAUACACAGGUGUGUGCUCCAUAUGACCCUCCAUGUGUGACAGAAAUGAUAAAUGCCAGCAGCCAACACACACGUUCUGAAGGCUGGUAUCUGUGUAAAACUGAAAUGGAUCUGCAGCUUCUCCAGAACAAUACCUCACCGUCAGAAGAGCAUGUGAUGGUGCUACUGACAAUGAAGGCAGGCAAUCACUCUGGAUGGAACAUUAGUGAAUUUAUGUUUCUCAACAACACUGAUCUAUACACUGCUGGACCCCAAAAUGACCAGAGACUGUUUUAUUGCAACCUCCCACCAGACAACAGCAAAUGUCCAGAUCUGAACAUAUCCAUGCAAGAAAAAAACACCAGCCCUCCAAUACAAGACCCCUCCAUUUUAAAAACCAAUACUUCUGUAAACCCAACUGCCUUUUCACUCAAAACAACUACACUGUCUUUCCAAGAAACACCUUCUACAGAUGAGCUGAAGUGUCAACCAACCAGCAGCAGUUUCCUCUUUUACUACCAGAUGAACAAUGAAACAGCAAGAUCUGCCGCAUUACCAGUGACCCAAACAAGAAAAGAUGGCUGGUGGUGUGUGAUUACUUCGGUGUGGUUGGCUCUGGUACUGACUGUGAUUGUGGUAACCCUAUUGAGUGUGGGCAACAUGAUCUUUAAGAGCAGAAAACGAAAGUCCGGUUUGGUUGCAUCUGUGCCGGUUUCAGCCCGUGGACGUCAGCUCAAAGAGCUCAGUAAACAAAAAGAAAAUUUAAUGAGUGCUGUCCCUGCUGUGUCCAUAGCAAUGUGCUGCUUAAGUGGUAAGCAAGUGUCCUUGUUAAAGCAAUCAGAAUUCAUUUAUGUAAAUAAAUCAAUUACAAAAAUGUACCAUAUCAGGUACAAUGAUACCAUGGCACUGGGUGAUUGCCACAUUCAUAAUAAUAUAAAUAUGAUAUUUAAAUGGUCCUCCAAGGAUCUUCAAAGACUCAGUCAAGUCAAGUUACUUUUAUUUGGCACUUUACAAAGCAGCCAUGAUAUACCAUGGUAUUACUAUGGAGUGUGACCCCAAAACCAUGGUAAUACCAUGUUCAAAAAAAAAAAAAAGAACUGGAUAAUAUUUUUACAAGGCUCUAUUCAUGUAGAGAAUUCUAAUAACAAGGGUUGGUGGGUCAUAUUUUUAUAUUGUUAUAUAGUUAUUAAAGGUUGAUAGAUUUCCGUUUCCUUCAUCUCUACAGAUGGGGAUGUAUUCUAUGAGAAACCGUCAAUGGGGAACAGAACAGAAGGUAAACAAACAACCUGUUCUAUCAUACUGCACUCUUUUUACCCAGAAGAAAUCUGUGCUUUAUCAAAAUGCAACCCUUACAUCUUUACCUGGCACUGAGUUUCCUUACUCGAAUAGAAAUUCUCCAGACCACUAACUCUCAAUCUACACUUUCUCAGAAAACCUUCUGAAGGUAGCUGACCUUACAUACAAGAGAAGUAAGUUAUUGGAUAUUUUUUUAUACAGUGUGACAGAGUACAGUAAUUAAACGGGAAGUGUCUGUAAUGGUGGCAGACUCCCGAAAAGCAACUCAACCUAAAACAAUUUUGGGCGCCAUGCAAACAGAUUGAAAACUCUGUCAUCAUUUACUCACCUCAUGCUGUUCCAACCAGUUUGACUUCCUUCUGUGGGAUAUAAAUAAAGAAUUUUUUGCAAAUGUUCA
ensembl:lncRNA